GUCUAUGGUCAUACCACCCAGAAUGCACCUGAUCUCAUCUCAUCUUGGAAGCUAAGCAGGGCUGGACCUUGGAUGGGAGACCACCUGGGAAUAUCAGGUGUUGUAGGCU
rnacentral:rRNA from 1 species